CACUGUUUCUAAGGAAAAUGGCAAAGAAUUAUCUUUGCCAGCUGACCCAGGUGCAGUUAAGCAGUUUCAAUAAUGAGAGGUGCUUAUGUUAUCUUUGUCUGAAAAAGAAAAAUUAAAAGCUGUUUUCUCAUAUGAAGCCCAUGCUGACCUCAUUCUUUGGGAUUUCACUUCCCAGCAUUUGUCCCUGACUCCCACCUAGUGGCUUCUUCCAGCACUGCACAGGGACAAAGAACCACCACUGAUGCCACCUGAGCCCGGCCCAGGAGCCCCUUGGGAGCUGAGCGCAGAAAGAAAGCACGGACACACCUACUCCUUUCUCAUCUCUCACUCAAGUUCACACCUGUCACAGGGGAGCAGCCCAUUCUUCUGAUGGACCACAGAUGCUCCAGUGCCAGAAGAUCUGCAGUCCCAGAUGAGCAGCAGCAGUACAAGAUACAUUUCCCACUAUGUAAUCCCUCCCCUCUGCUAACAGUUGAUUCACUCUGGGGUAGACACUGGACCUAAGGUGUGCAUCCAUAGCUUGUGAAUAAAUUAAAAGUCUUUAAUGUCU
ensembl:lncRNA novel transcript